UACGUAGGGUGCUAGCGUUGUUCGGAAUCAUUGGGCGUAAAGCGCGUGUAGGUUGCUUGCUAAGUCGGUUGUGAAAUCCCUGGGCUCAACCCAGGAAGUGCAUUCGAAACUAGCUAGCUAGAAGAUGGUAGAGGAAGGUGGAAUUCCAAGUGUAGAGGUGAAAUUCGUAGAUAUUUGGAGGAAUACCUGAGGCGAAGGCGGCCUUCUGGACCAUUCUUGACACUGAGACGCGAAAGCCAGGGGAGCAAACGGG
rnacentral:rRNA from 1 species